CAGUAGCCGCGGUAAUACGGAGGGUGCAAGCGUUAAUCGGAAUUACUGGGCGUAAAGCGCACGCAGGCGGUCUGACAAGUCAGAUGUGAAAUCCCCGGGCUUAACCUGGGAACUGCAUUUGAAACUGUCAGGCUGGAGUCUUGUAGAGGGGGGUGGAAUUCCAGGUGUAGCGGUGAAAUGCGUAGAGAUCUGGAGGAAUACCGGUGGCGAAGGCGGCCCCCUGGACAAAGACUGACGCUCAGGUGCGAAAGCGUGGGGAGCAAACAGGAUUAGAUACCCGAGUAGUCCAUGUCUCUUAUAC
rnacentral:rRNA from 1 species